rnacentral:sRNA from 1 species
GCUGGGUAUGGAAGCUGUAUACCUGUAAUCCCAGAGACUCAGGAGGCAGAGGCAGGAGGAUAGCAGAUUCAAGGUCAGUGUCAGCAACUUAGUGAGACCCUGUCUCAA